AGAGUUUGAUCCUGGCUCAGGAUGAACGCUAGCGGCAGGCUUAACACAUGCAAGUCGAGGGGUAACAGGUCUUUCGGGACGCUGACGACCGGCGCACGGGUGAGUAACGCGUAUGCAACUUGCCCAUAGCUGGGGGAUAGCCCGAAGAAAUUCGGAUUAAUACCCCAUAAUAUUACAAAGAGGCAUCUCUUUGUUCUUAAAGCCUUCGGGCGGCUAUGGAUGGGCAUGCGUGUCAUUAGUUAGUUGGUGAGGUAACGGCUCACCAAGACUACGAUGACUACGGGGUCUUAAAGGAUGGUCCCGCACACUGGUACUGAGACACGGACCAGACUCCUACGGGAGGCAGCAGUGAGGAAUAUUGGUCAAUGGGCGAAAGCCUGAACCAGCCAUGCCGCGUGCAGGAUGACGGCCUUAUGGGUUGUAAACUGCUUUUCUACGGGACGAAAAUGCUUUACGUGUAAGGUACUGACGGUACCGUAGGAAUAAGCAUCGGCUAACUCCGUGCCAGCAGCCGCGGUAAUACGGAGGAUGCAGGCGUUAUCCGGAUUUAUUAGGUUUAAAGGGUGCGUAGGCGGAGAUGUAAGUCAGUGGUGAAAUCCUACAGCUUAACUGUAGAACUGCCAUUGAUACUGCAACUCUUGAGUAUAGUUGAGGUAGGCGGAAUGUGUAGUGUAGCGGUGAAAUGCAUAGAUAUUACACAGAACACCAAUUGCGAAGGCAGCUUACUAAAUUAUAACUGACGCUGAGGCACGAAAGCGUGGGGAGCAAACAGGAUUAGAUACCCUGGUAGUCCACGCUGUAAACGAUGAUUACUCGUUGUUGGCAAUAUACAGUCAGCGACUGAGCGAAAGCAUUAAGUAAUCCACCUGGGGAGUACGUUCGCAAGAAUGAAACUCAAAGGAAUUGACGGGGGCCCGCACAAGCGGAGGAACAUGUGGUUUAAUUCGAUGAUACGCGAGGAACCUUACCUGGGCUUAAAUGGCUUGUACCCUUCGGGGGAUUCCGGUUGAAAGAUUGGUGAAAGAGUCAAGGUGCUGCAUGGCUGUCGUCAGCUCGUGCCGUGAGGUGUCGGGUUAAGUCCCAUAACGAGCGCAACCCCUAUCAUUAGUUGCCAGCGCGUAAAGGCGGGGACUCUAAUGAGACUGCCACCGUAAGGUGUGAGGAAGGUGGGGAUGACGUCAAGUCAGCACGGCCCUUACGUCCAGGGCUACACACGUGUUACAAUGGCCAGUACAAAGGGCAGCUACUUGGUAACAAGACGCAAAUCCUUAAAACUGGUCCUAGUUCGGAUUGAAGUCUGCAACUCGACUUCAUGAAGUUGGAUUCGCUAGUAAUCGUACAUCAGCAAUGGUACGGUGAAUACGUUCCCGGGCCUUGUACACACCGCCCGUCAAGCCAUGGGAGCCGGGAGUACCUGAAGUUCGUAACCGCAAGGAGCGACCUAGGGUAAAACUGGUGACUGGGGCUAAGUCGUAACAAGGUA
rnacentral:rRNA from 1 species